UACGUAGGGUGCAAGCGUUGUCCGGAAUUAUUGGGCGUAAAGAGCUCGUAGGCGGUCUGUCACGUCGGCUGUGAAAACCCGGGGCUCAACCCCGGGCCUGCAGUCGAUACGGGCAGACUAGAGUGCGGUAGGGGAGACUGGAAUUCCUGGUGUAGCGGUGAAAUGCGCAGAUAUCAGGAGGAACACCGGUGGCGAAGGCAGGUCUCUGGGCCACUACUGACGCUGAAAAGCGAAAGCGUGGGGAGCGAACAGG
rnacentral:rRNA from 1 species